rnacentral:rRNA from 1 species
GGAGUUUGGUCCGUGUCUCAGUACCAAUGUGGGGGACCUUCCUCUCAGAACCCCUACUGAUCGUUGCCCCGGUGGGCCGUUACCCCGCCGGCAAGCUAAUCAGACGCAUCCCCAUCCCUUGGCGUAAAACUUUAGUGCUCCUCAGAUGUCCUCAAAGCACAACAUAGGGUGUUAAUCCGCAUUUCUACGGGCUAUGCCCUACCAGGGGGAAGGUUGGAUACGCGUUACUCACCCGUGCGCCGGUCGCCAUCAGAAGUUGCAAGCAACUCCCAUGCUGCCCCUCGACUUGCAUGUGUUAAGCCUGUAGCUAGCGUUCAUC